CUGGCACUGUUUCUGUUCCACCUCACUCUUGUACUCCUACAUGGUCUAGGAAACGGUAAUAGGUUUCCUUGACCUCUGCAGGAAAGACUGCAUGCUUAUCUGUGGAAUUUGCAAAGGACAUGGAAGUUAGGAAGUACAGUAAGAUGAAGGCAAAAACAAAGGCAUAACAACUUAGCAAAAGACAAAAGGAGCACAACCACCAAUCUGGAACUUCCUCCAAGAUAUGCUUGUAUUAUGAAUGCACCAACUACACACCCACCUUGGACCCCAGUGCCUUCCUGCCAACAACUGUGGAUAUACACUCCAACCUAAAAUGUCGACUGAGAAAGAAUCAGUGAGGAUGGGGACUCAGAUAAUGCCAGAAAUGAGAACCAAGUGUUCUCCAAGACCCAUCUGGACACCCUGAAAGGGAUGCAGGUAGUUAACUGGUGCAUUAAUGCUGGCCAUUUGUUUACAUUUUCCACUGUCCUUGAAACAUCACCUUCUCCUCUGCCAAAAUAAUGGCUAACUUUGAAAGGGAACAAAGGAAUUCUGUUUUGAACUAAUCAAUUUAUUAAGAGUAUAGCAUGGCAUCACUAGGCAACAGUCUGAAUACAGGAGAACAGGAAUUUUGUAAAAGAGAAAUAAAAUAUAAGCAAAGCAGUUAUUUUAAUUUAUAGUGAAGUUAGCAAGUGAGCAUUUUCUACACACUUUUAUAGAACAGGCUUACUCCAAAUCAGUAAAAUGCAGUGUCAUAAAAUAUUAUAGUAACAAAAUGGAAAGCACUUGCAAUGAUUCUGAACUACAGUGAAACAGAUGAGUGAGCAUUUUCAAUACUUAAAGUUACAAAGCUUACUUGUUUUGAACCAACCAAACAAAGCAAAUGCAGUAUCACAGGAAAAAUAGAACGAACACAAUAUAAUACAACAGGGUAAAAAAAAUCUGGACAUAUUUUAAACUGUUGUUACUUGCAUUAAGGUUCAGGAAAGAGAGAUAGAAACUGUGUGUUAAAAUUAUGACAUACAUUAAUUGGUGGGCACAGCUUGCAGAGAAGGUGAUUGAUCUUAGCAGACUGCAAAGCUGUGCAUGCUGGCAACAUUUCACAGAAUUUUUCCAACAGGUUGUAUUUAAUCUUUUUCCAGGCAUUUCUCCGAGCUGCCUUGUUUAUUCUGUCAUAGUGGGACACCUUCCCAUGCCAUUCUGCAAAGACCUUUUAGGAUAUCAUUUGAAGAACAAGAAGCAAACAGACCAGGCCAACCACAAGUCUUGUCAAACAGUUGUCUAUUCUGGCCUUUUGAGAUCCUCAUCAAUAUAUACUCAAGGAUCAAAAAUGCUUUUUAACCUCAACUAGGAUAUCUUUCAAGAGCAUCUCUUCUACACCUGCUGAAUGACUGCUGAACAACUCAGCAAGAUAAGAAAAAGGAAGAAAAAGGACAAGAGAAGAUAUACUGAUCCAGGCUGCCCAGUGAGACUCAAGAACGGUAGAAGUAUAUGCAUGAGCAAAGACCUAAAAAAUAAUAGAAAAAGAGAGGAAUUGAGAGAUGCAACAGGAUUUCUUGCAGCAGUAAAAAAAAAAAAGUGAAAAAAAAC